rnacentral:rRNA from 1 species
ACGGGUGAGUAACACGUGGGUAACCUGCCUCAAAGAGGGGGAUAGCCUCCCGAAAGGGAGAUUAAUACCGCAUAACAUUAGUUUUUCGCAUGGAGGACUAAUUAAAGGAGUAAUCCGCUUUGAGAUGGACCCGCGGCGCAUUAGCUAGUUGGUGAGGUAACGGCUCACCAAGGCGACGAUGCGUAGCCGACCUGAGAGGGUGAUCGGCCACAUUGGAACUGAGACACGGUCCAGACUCCUACGGGAGGCAGCAGUGGGGAAUAUUGCACAAUGGGCGAAAGCCUGAUGCAGCAACGCCGCGUGAGUGAUGAAGGCCUUCGGGUUGUAAAGCUCUGUCUUUUGGGACGAUAAUGACGGUACCAAAGGAGGAAGCCACGGCUAACUACGUGCCAGCAGCCGCGGUAAUACGUAGGUGGCAAGCGUUGUCCGGAUUUACUGGGCGUAAAGGAUGCGUAGGCGGAUUUUUAAGUGAGAUGUGAAAUUCCCGAGCUUAACUUGGGAGCUGCAUUUCAAACUGGAAGUCUAGAGUGCGGGAGAGGAAAGUGGAAUUCCUAGU